rnacentral:rRNA from 1 species
AUUGAACGCUGGCGGCAGGCUUAACACAUGCAAGUCGAGCGGGGACUUCGGUCCUAGCGGCGAACGGGUGCGGAAUGCUUGGGAAUCUGCCCAGUAGCGGGGGAUAACGGUUCGAAAGGAACGCUAAUACCGCAUACGCCCUACGGGGGAAAGGGGGGGAUCUUCUGACCUCUCACUCUUGGAUGAGCCCAAGUCGGAUUAGCUAGUUGGUGGGGUAAAGGCCUACCAAGGCGACGAUCCGUAGCUGGUCUGAGAGGAUGAUCAGCCACACUGGAACUGAGACACGGUCCAGACUCCUACGGGAGGCAGCAGUGGGGAAUAUUGGACAAUGGGCGAAAGCCUGAUCCAGCCAUGCCGCGUGUGUGAAGAAGGCCUUCGGGUUGUAAAGCACUUUAAGCGAGGAGGAAUGGCUCUUGGUUAAUACCUUGAGCAGUGACGUUACUCGCAGAAUAAGCACCGGCUAACUCUGUGCCAGCCGCCGCCGUAAUAC